UACGGAGGGUGCAAGCGUUAUCCGGAUUCACUGGGUUUAAAGGGUGCGUAGGCGGGCAGGUGAGUCAGAGGUGAAAUCUCCGGGCUUAACCCGGAAACUGCCUUUGAUACUAUCUGUCUUGAAUAUGGUGGAGGUAAGCGGAAUAUGUCAUGUAGCGGUGAAAUGCUUAGAGAUGACAUAGAACACCCAUUGCGAAGGCAGCUUACUACGCCUAUAUUGACGCUGAGGCACGAAAGCGUGGGGAUCAAACAGG
rnacentral:rRNA from 1 species